rnacentral:lncRNA from 1 species
AGCUGAGUUACUGCCAGUGCAGACACGCUCUCUGAUGUCCUGUCCUGCGGGGUGGAGGGACCUGACCCAGAAUCACACCAGCCCUGUACCACAGCUGCUCUGUGCUGCAAAAGGGUUGAUGGCCAAAGCAGCAGACAGUUCCUCUGCUCAGAUCUUGCAGCUUCCUGAAAUGCAGCUUAAUAUUAAAUCUUAAAUCUUAAUAUUAAAUCUCUCCCAGGAAAGCUGCACAUUGAAGCACCCUCCGCACAACGCUGACUGGGAGAUGCCGAGUCCUGUCUCCCCGCACACACACAGGCAGCGCUCAGAACCACGCCAGCGCCGAGCAGAGCUGUUCCAUCCGUCAGCCCCAUGUAUUUAUUUUCAUCUGUCAAAAACCAUAUCCGAGCCUGAAGGCUCCCAGGAAGAUCCUGGAAUCCGGAUCCAGGGUGUGAUCAGAAGGAGUAGAACUCACAGUGGAUGUUACCCUGAAAACUGGUAUCAGGAGCCCUGUGGUCAUUCAGAGACCUGACAUCUUCGAGCAGCUUGCAAAGGAGCAACCUACUCGGCUACGCUCUCCAGCCUGCUGUACCAGACAACCUGCCAGUGCCUGCUCCAACAGUGAUGGAGGAAAGUCAGAGGGAGAUGGUAUCAGAGGAGGAAAAGGAAGAGGCCUGAGACUGUUCAUAAGAAGAUGCAUACCCAGGGGUAAAUUGACAGCUGCCUGCUAUCAAAUACCGAUCUGUGACUUUCCAGUAACAUAAAAAUCCACCUGGGUUGGAUGAGAGACGAAAAUCCUUUCAGCAGGUAGCAGAGUGCAAAGGGAUGUUGCCAGUUCAGAUGUGAACCUGUGACCCAAAGCUCGCAAGAUAUUAUUUCUCAGAUGAAUCACACAGAGGGAGGCUUAGGACAGGCGUCGCAUGCCUGGCCUGGAUUAGCUCUGGUACAAGGAUGCCUGUUUCUCUGUAUUACGGUGUUUCACUUUCUAGAAGCCGAGGAGGCCGUGGCUCAGUCAGCCAUGCUAUCAUGCCCUUUCUAGAGACACAUCGGAACUGGGCUUGCGGUCAUUCUGGCAGUGUUGGUGGCUUGAGUUAAAUCUGCCUCUUUAUUAAGGUGGCAUUUGCCUAAACAUCCUCCAGAGUUCUGCCACCCCUGUCUGCAUGGGCGGUCUCUUAGCAUUUCUUAAUUUUUGCUAACAAAGAUUUUUGUUUGAGGAUGUCCGCGUUUGGUUGGAGAAGUGGAUGGGUGGGCAGGAGAGGGCUGUCACCCACCCACCAAAGUGGAUAGGAGGCAUUUAGGGGAGCUUCUGCUGCGUCUGUGUUAAUGCUGCUUAUGCCUGAUAAAGCUUUUAGCUGUGAAAUGUCACAUUUCUCAAAGCCCAAUCAGCCAGUCAUGCUCUAGGCUUUAACAGCUGUAACUCUAAUUGGACCAUGAAAAUUAAUUGAUCCGCAGCACAAAAACACAAGACAGCAAAAAAAAAAAAAAAAAAAAAAAAAGAAAGAAAGAAAACAGACCAACCCUAACUGAGUUUG